UAUGUCCCUCCAAAUUUUUUUGACAAGAAUGAACGAUUUCCUCCAAUCAGAAAAUAAUAGGAAAACCUAUUCAAUUCACCGAACGGGAUACGGAAGAGAUGAGCGAUUAACAAAAUCACACAGAUAGGUCUCCAGCCAGCUUUUCCCCAGAUACCUGCUCUUCUUCCCCAGGUUUCAAGAUUGUUGCAGAACUCAUUCUUGUCCUUCAAUUUCUUGUCUUUAUCGACGAAAAAAUCUGAUUAACAGGUCCUUGACGCCAACAGUGGCCAUGAAAGAGUACCACAAACAUCAAGGAUACCUAGUGUUACUGAAAAUACUUCAGUGUCUCGCGGUCAUAUAGUCUGAUCAUUGACAAUUUAGUGGGUGAAAGAUUUCCAUAUGAUGAAGCAUUGUAGAAAUUAUUUGAAUACUAUUAUUUGUUAGGAUAAGUUAUAUGACAUAUAAUGAUAUUAGCUAUUUGCUUCAAACAAUACAAAUUUAUUUUUAAGUUAUUGUGAUAUUAAUAUUUUGGAUUAGUAUUUUCUUUUGUUUGUUAAGAUUUAAUGAGAUACAUUAUA